AAUCAACGCUGGCGGCGCGCUUAACACAUGCAAGUCGCACGAGAAAGGGAGCAAUCCUGAGUAAAGUGGCGUACGGGUGAGUAACACGUGGGAAUCUACCUCUUGGCGGGGAAUAACCCUGGGAAACCGGGGCUAAUACCGCUUAAGCUCGUGAGAGGAAAGCAGCAAUGCACCGAGAGAGGAGCCCGCGGCCGAUUAGCUAGUUGGUGGGGUAAUGGCUCACCAAGGCGAAGAUCAGUAGCCGGCCUGAGAGGGCACACGGCCACACUGGCACUGAAACACGGGCCAGACUCCGACGGGAGGCAGCAGUGGGGAAUCUUGCACAAUGGGGGAAACCCUGAUGCAGCGACGCCGCGUGAGCGAUGAAGCCCUUCGGGGUGUAAAGCUCUUUCGACAGGAACGAUAAUGACGGUACCUGGAGAAGAAGCUGCGGCUAACUACGUG
rnacentral:rRNA from 1 species